GACAGAGGUGCCGAGCGUUAGGCGGAAUCACUGGGCUUAAAGCGUGUGUAGGCGGGCGGGCAAGUACCUUGUGAAAUCCCACGGCUCAACCGUGGAACGGCUGGGUAUACUGCCUGUCUUGAGCCAACUAGGGGCGAGCGGAACAGACGGUGGAGCGGUGAAAUGCGUAGAUAUCGGAAGGAACGCCCGUGGCGUAAGCGAGGCCCUGGACCCUUACUGACGCUGAGACGCGAAAGCCAGGGGAGCGAACGGG
rnacentral:rRNA from 1 species